UAGGGAAUCUUCCGCAAUGGACGAAAGUCUGACGGAGCAACGCCGCGUGAGUGAAGAAGGUUUUCGGAUCGUAAAACUCUGUUGUCAGAGAAGAACAAGUCGGAGAGUAACUGCUCCGGCCUUGACGGUAUCUGACCAGAAAGCCACGGCUAACUACGUGCCAGCAGCCGCGGUAAUACGUAGGUGGCAAGCGUUGUCCGGAUUUAUUGGGCGUAAAGCGAGCGCAGGCGGUUCCUUAAGUCUGAUGUGAAAGCCCACGGCUCAACCGUGGAAGGUCAUUGGAAACUGGGGAACUUGAGUGCAGAAGAGGAGAGUGGAAUUCCAUGUGUAGCGGUGAAAUGCGUAGAUAUAUGGAGGAACACCAGUGGCGAAGGCGACUCUCUGGUCUGUAACUGACGCUGAGGCUCGAAAGCGUGGGGAGCAAACAGG
rnacentral:rRNA from 3 species